AGUGAACGCUGGCGGUAGGCCUAACACAUGCCAGUCGAACGGCAGCACAGAGGAGCUUGCUCCUUGGGUGGCGAGUGGCGGACGGGUGAGGAAUACAUCGGAAUCUACUCUGUCGUGGGGGAUAACGUAGGGAAACUUACGCUAAUACCGCAUACGACCUACGGGUGAAAGCAGGGGAUCUUCGGACCUUGCGCGAUUGAAUGAGCCGAUGGCGGAUUAGCUAGUUGGCGGGGUAAAGGCCCACCAAGGCGACGAUCCGUAGCUGGUCUGAGAGGAUGAUCAGCCACACUGGAACUGGGACACGGUCCAGACUCCUACGGGAGGCAGCAGUGGGGAAUAUUGGACAAUGGGCGCAAGCCUGAUCCAGCCAUACCGCGUGGGUGAAGAAGGCCUUCGGGUUGUAAAGCCCUUUUGUUGGGAAAGAAAUCCAUCUGGUUAAUACCCGGGUGGGAUGACGGUACCCAAAGAAUAAGCACCGGCUAACUUCGUGCCAGCAGCCGCCGCCG
rnacentral:rRNA from 1 species